CAGCAACCACCCCAAAAGCACACGAGCCCUCUCUUUCCACUCUCCUUCUCACUGUCCUCCUAUCAACUACAUAAUCCUCGAUUAAAAAUGGAACGAGGCUAAUAAAAAGAGAAUUAAAAAAAAAAAAAGGCAAAGAAAAAAGAAAAAGAAAAGAGGAGGACGGAAUGGAGCCGAGGAAAUGCAACUGUCAGAAAACGGGAUGGUCAGACUUCCUGAGUGAACCUGCCUGUGUCUGGCUUAAUGUAAAUCCACCAUCUUCAGCCUGGAGGAAGAGGAGGAGGAGGGUGUGUUAUUGAAUGGUGGCUAAAGCCUCCUCGGGACGGCGCUGAGGUGAAACGGGCUGAACCCGACUGCUGUGCCUCCUCUCCCGGUUGGACCCAGUGCCCUAAGCAGCCGAGGAGGGACCCUGGCCGCCCGGCUCGCAGUGCUCGGUUUAAAAAAAUAAAUAAAUAAAUAGAGUCCCGUCCCGC
rnacentral:lncRNA from 1 species